rnacentral:rRNA from 1 species
CCCUUAGAUGCCCUGGGCCGCACGCGCGUUACACUGAUGCAUUCAACGAACUUAUAACCUUGGCCGAGAGGCCUGGGCAAUCUUGUUAACGUGCAUCGUGAUAGGGAUAGAUUAUUGAAAUUAUUAAUCUUGAACGAGGAAUUCCUAGUAAACGCAGAUCAUCAAUCUGCAUUGAUUACGUCCCUGCCCUUUGUACACACCGCCCGUCGCACCUACCGAUUGGAUGGUCCGGUGAAGCCUCGGGAUUGUGGUUCUUGCCGCUUUAUUGUGGCGUGACCGCGAGAACUUGUCUAAACCUUAUCAUCUAGAGGAAGGUGAAGUCGUAACAA